CCAUGAAGUCGGAAUCGCUAGUAAUCGUGGAUCAGAAUGCCACGGUGAAUACGUUCCCGGGCCUUGUACACACCGCCCGUCACACCAUGGGAGUGGGUUGCAAAAGAAGUAGGUAGCUUAACCUUCGGGAGGGCGCUUACCACUUUGUGAUUCAUGACUGGGGUGAAGUCGUAACAAGGUAACCGUAGGGGAACCUGCGGUUGGAUCACCUCCUUACCUUAAAGAA
rnacentral:rRNA from 1 species